rnacentral:rRNA from 1 species
CACGUAGGGUGCGAGCGUUGUCCGGAAUUAUUGGGCGUAAAGAGCUCGUAGGCGGUGUGUCGCGUCGGCCGUGAAAACCUGUGGCUUAACUAUGGGCUUGCGGUCGAUACGGGCAUCACUGGAGUUCGGCAGGGGAGACUGGAUUUCCUGGUGUAGCGGUGAAAUGCGCAGAUAUCAGGAGGAACACCGGUGGCGAAGGCGGGUCUCUGGGCCGAUACUGACGCUGAGGAGCGAAAGCGUGGGGAGCGAACAGG